GGAGGUAAAAGUCGUAACAAGGUCUCCGUUGGUGAACCAGCGGAGGGAUCAUUACCGAGUUUACAACUCCCAAACCCCUAUGUGAACGUUACCAAACUGUUGCCUCGGCGGGAAAUUCAUGCCCCGGGCGCGUCGCAGCCCCGGACCAAGGCGCCCGCCGGAGGACCAACCAAAACUCUUUUGUAUGUCCCUCGCGGACUUUUAUAAUUCUGAACCAUCUCGGCGCCCCUAGCGGGCGUUUCGAAAAUGAAUCAAAACUUUCAACAACGGAUCUCUUGGUUCUG
rnacentral:misc_RNA from 1 species